GUAAAUUAUUCUAAUACAAGGUACCGAAACAUGAUGACUGACGUCAUGGAGAGAAGAGUUAGAUAAAAUCUAUUUGAAGAUGCGGAAUUAUCGUUUGGAAAACUUGUAACGUACUGCCUGUUAAACAUUGAGGGGUCAUCUGCAAGAAGCUUCAGUACUAUCUCGAUGCUGCUACAUUGCGCUGAAGAUAAGUUGCCGGCCGUUAAAUAAUUACACUUUUAUUUUGGUUUGCCUCUAAGGGAGCGGCAGUGUGGCACAACCAUGGGCGUGAGAAUCAACCAAUUUGUAUCGUUAUCUCUAUA